CGGGGGGCUGCAGUCGAGAAUAUUUUUCAAUGGGCGAAAGCCUGAAAAUGCGACGCCGCGUGGGGGAUGAAGGUUUUCGGAUUGUAAACCCCUUUUAUUGGAGACGAAAGCUCUUGGUGUGAAUAAUGCCAAGGGUGUGCCUGUACCCAAUGAAUAAGCCACGGCUAACUCCGUGCCAGCAGCCGCGGUAAUACGGAGGUGGCGAGCGUUACUCGGAUUAACUGGGUGUAAAGGGUCUGUAGGCGGCUAAAUAAGUGGGAGGUGAAAUCUUUCGGCUUAACCGGAAAACUGCCUCUCAAACUAUUUGGCUUGAGACUGGAAGAGGAGAGUGGAAUUGUCGGUGUAAGGGUGAAAUCUGUGGAUAUCGACAAGAACGCCUGUGGGGAAGCCGACUCUCUGGUCCAGAACUGACGCUGAGGGACGAAAGCUAGGGGAAUCAAUAGGAUUAGAUACCCUUGUAGUC
rnacentral:rRNA from 1 species